rnacentral:rRNA from 1 species
UACGUAGGGGGCAAGCGUUGUCCGGAAUCAUUGGGCGUAAAGAGCGCGUAGGCGGCCCUGUAAGUCCGCUGUGAAAGUCAAGGGCUCAACCCUUGAAUGCCGGUGGAUACUGCAGGGCUAGAGUCCGGAAGAGGCGAGUGGAAUUCCUGGUGUAGCGGUGAAAUGCGCAGAUAUCAGGAGGAACACCGAUGGCGAAGGCAGCUCGCUGGGACGGUACUGACGCUGGGGCGCGAAAGCGUGGGGAGCGAACAGG